rnacentral:rRNA from 1 species
UACAGAGGGUGCGAGCGUUAAUCGGAAUUACUGGGCGUAAAGCGCACGUAGGUGGCGACGUAAGUCGGAUGUGAAAGCCCCGGGCUCAACCCGGGAAGUGCACUCGAUACUGCCAAGCUAGAGUAUCGGAGAGGUUGGUGGAAUUCUCGGUGUAGAGGUGAAAUUCGUAGAUAUCGAGAGGAACACCGGUGGCGAAGGCGGCCAACUGGACGAAUACUGACGCUGAGACUCGAAAGCGUGGGGAGCAAACAGG